ACUCCGGUUGAUCCUGCCGGACCCGACCGCUAUCGGGGUAGGGCUAAGCCAUGGGAGUCGAACGCCCCGCCGCUGCGGGGCGUGGCGGACGGCUGAGUAACACGUGGCUAACCUACCCUCGGGACGGGGAUAACCCCUCGGGAAACUGGGGCUAAUCCCCGAUAGGCGGGGGGUGCCUGGAAGGGUCCUCCGCCGAAAGGGGCCGCGGGGGGUUAUCGCCCGCGGUCCGCCCGAGGAUGGGGCUGCGGCCCAUCACGGUAGUUGGCGGGGUAAUGGCCCGCCAAGCCUACGACGGGUAGGGGCCGUGAGAGCGGGAGCCCCCAGAUGGGCACUGAGACAAGGGCCCAGGCCCUACGGGGCGCACCAGGCGCGAAAACUCCGCAAUGCGGGCAACCGUGACGGGGCUACCCCGAGUGCCCCCCUUGGGGGGGCUUUUCCCCGCUGUAAGUAGGCGGGGGAAUAAGCGGGGGGCAAGACUGGUGUCAGCCGCCGCGGUAAUACCAGCCCCGCGAGCGGUCGGGGUGCUUACUGGGCCUAAAGCGCCCGUAGCCGGCUCGACAAGUCCCCGCCUAAAGCCCCGGGCUCAACCCGGGGAGUGGCGGGGAUACUGUCGGGCUAGGGGGCGGGAGAGGCCGAGGGUACUCCCGGGGUAGGGGCGAAAUCCAUUAAUCCCGGGAGGACCACCAGUGGCGAAGGCGCUCGGCUGGAACGCGCCCAACGGUGAGGGGCGAAAGCCGGGGGAGCGAACCGGAUUAGAUACCCGGGUAGUCCCGGCUGUAAACGAUGCGGGCUAGGUGUUGGGCGGGCGUGCGAGCCCGCCCAGUGCCGCAGGGAAGCCGUUAAGCCCGCCGCCUGGGGAGUACGGCCGCAAGGCUGAAACUUAAAGGAAUUGGCGGGGGAGCACCACAAGGGGUGGAGCCUGCGGCUUAAUUGGAGUCAACGCCGGGAACCUCCACCGGGGGCGACAGCAGGAUGACGGCCAGGCUGAAGGCCUUGCCCGACGCGCUGAGGGGAGGUGCAUGGCCGUCGCCAGCUCGUGCCGUGAGGUGUCCUGUUAAGUCAGGCAACGAGCGAGACCCCCGCCCCUAGUUGCCAUCCCCGGGGCGACCCGGGGGGCACACUAGGGGGACUGCCGCCGCUAAGGCGGAGGAAGGAGGGGGCAACGGCAGGUCAGCAUGCCCCUAAACCCCCGGGCCGCACGCGGGCUACAAUGGCGGGGACAGCGGGUGCCGACCCCGAAAGGGGGAGGCAAUCCCUCAAACCCCGCCUCAGUUGGGAUCGAGGGCUGCAACUCGCCCUCGUGAACGUGGAAUCCCUAGUAACCGCGCGUCAUCAUCGCGCGGUGAAUACGUCCCUGCUCCUUGCACACACUGCCCGUCGCUCCACCCGAGGGGGGAGGGGGUGAGGCCCUCUCCGCCGGGAGGGGGUCGAACCCCCUCCCCCCGAGGGGGGAGAACUCGUAACAAGGUAGCCGUAGGGGAACCUGCGGCUGGAUCACCUCC
rnacentral:rRNA from 1 species